GAGCGGCCAGCGCAGGGGAUUCUAUUCUGGCAACAACGACUUGGCCAGCCCAGAUGGCGUACAGCGUAGCGUAGAACUGAUAUCCAGUAUGUAGGAGGUAAAGUAGACCCCGAUUUGGCCCGGACUGGCCUUUCACGGAAUUGACGUAUAGAGGCACGCGUCGCAGCCAGCGCAGACAAUGCAAACUAGUGCACCACCGAACAAACAGGCGGCGGGCACCCCCAAUUUGCUUUGCAUUACCCGGCGUAGGUCUGCGCGCAAUGUGCCUCUGCAAUACAAACAAAGAUCCAACCGCGUUAGGUUGACCACGGCUAUGUCUGCCACCACCCCGAUCUCUACCUCCACUACUACCCC
rnacentral:misc_RNA from 1 species